GGAUAAAAAACGAACAAUCGUAAUCGGUUUCGACCCGGUCUUUGGUCUUUUGUGACCUUUAUUCU
rnacentral:tRNA from 1 species